rnacentral:tRNA from 1 species
GCGAAUAGCUCAGUUGGCAGAGCAUCUGCUUUACACGCAGAGGGUCACAGGUUCGAGUCCUGUUUCGCCC